ACUCACCAGGUCAGGACACGGUAAGGAUUGACGGACUGAAGGCUCUUUUCUCGAUUCCGUGGAAAGUGGUGCAUGGCCGUUUUUGGUUGGUGGAUCGAUCCGUCUGGUUAAUUCCGUUAACGAACGAGACCUCGGCACUCCGAAUAGCGCGGCGGACGUCGCGGCCUCCGGGCCGUCUUCCGCACGAGCUUCUUAGAGGGACCGUCCCCCGCCGGGGAAGGAGGUGCGAGGCAACGACAGGUCUGUGAUGCCCUUAGAUGUUCUGGGCCGCACGCGCAUUACACUGACGCGUCCAACGGGUGACUCCCGACCCGAAGGGGCCGGGGAAUCCGCAAGGCGCGUCGUGAUGGGGAUUGAACGUUGCAAUUGUUGUUCACGAACGAGGAAUUCCUAGUAGGCGCGGGUCAUCAACCCGCGCCGAUUACGUCCCUGCCCUUUGUACACACCG
rnacentral:rRNA from 1 species